AAAUUUUACUCUUUUAGUAUUUGUCUAGCAGGCCUUCAAACAUUGAAGGCCCAC
rnacentral:snRNA from 1 species